rnacentral:lncRNA from 1 species
AUGGAGAACGGCGCACAUGGAGGUGAGUUACGAGCUGCUCAUUCAUUACUCCUGAGUGUGUUUGACUCUCUGAGUGACCCUCGUGUGUUCAUCAGCAGCUCAGGCCAACGGUCUGGCUGGCCACAAACCGAGCGGCCAAGCAGCGGUCAGCGGCGUUCAGACGCAGGAGCUGCUCCAGCAGUUGAGCAUGACUCCAGCGCAGCUGUUGCAGACGCAGACGCAGCUCCUGGCCGCAGGUCAACAGAGCAGCACCACCGGAGCCAGUAUCUCCGCCUCCGCGGCCACGCCCAUCACACUGUCCCAGCCCAUUCAGAUCGCGUCUCCGCAGGGCUUGAACCUGCAGCAGUUUGUCUUGGUCCAGCCGGGUCACUCCCUCAGUCCUCAGUUUCAGCCGCAGUUCAUCAUAUCUCCGUCUCCUCAGGGUCAGACCGGUCUCCUGCAAGCUCAGAGUGUCCUGACGCAUCUACCUCACAGCCCAGCGCAGAGCAGCCUCGCCCUCACCGCGCAGGUACAGAGACACUCCACUGUGUGACACCGAAGAUUCUGCUUAAAUAAAUCAAAAGCAGGGCUGUACACAUCAAUAAUACACAUCCAAGUGCACAUCCCAGAAAUUAUAUUAAUAAUAAUAUAUCAUCUAAAGAAUAAUGAUAUAAUCUUAAUAAAUGAUGAUAAUAAUGAUAAUAAUUAGUUCUUUAUUUUUUAAGGAAUAAUUGCAAUGUUUCAUUUUUGGUUUUAUUUUAAUAGUUAACCCCUGUUGAGCAGCAUUUUAUUUGCCAAAAAAUUAAAGCAUUCAUUUUAGUGCCGAGCAACGAUUAAUCACAUAAAAUAUUAAACUUUUUGUUUAUAUGAUGUGUAUGUGUAUAUAUAUAUAUAUAUAUAUAUAUAUAUAUGUAUGUAUGUAUGUGUGUGUGUGUGUGUGUGUGUAUUAUUAUUAGCGGGGUUUUUAAAAAGUAUUAAAAAGUGAUAAAUCAAAAUUGUCAAAUUUAAGGCCAUUAAAAGUGUUAAAUGUGGUCUCAGAGGUAUUAUUUUUUUCCAAAUUAGGUAUUAUUUUUUCAGACUAUCAGGUGUCCUAUUCUGAUUGAAAUUCUAUCUGCGUUCGCGUUAGUUCGUUUAAAUAUGGGCUUUAGCAUAUCUGGGCACAUAAUCAAAGAUCUUUCGUCUCCGUCUCAACGUAUGUUUGAUGCUGACGUCAUAUUCAGUGGUCGUUCGGCAUCAUCUCAGAACACUGCUCGCUCAACAGGAGUGGCUGGCUUACGUUUUAUUUUAGACUUGCUUCAAGGCAUAUCUUCAACGACUGGACAACCAUCGUUGUCUUCAUGGGCAAAUGCAAGUUUUCUAAUAGCUGGGUUAACGACCCAGCGUUUAAGGACUGGCUCAGGCCUGUAGUAGGGAAUAACAGGCAGGCUUAUUGUUCGGUGUGUAAAAAAAAAACAUCAAUGUCAACUGGAUGGGAGCUAACGCACUUCGGUCGCAUAUGCAAUCCACCAAACAUAAAAAUGGAAUGCGUUCUCGGAGAGAGCCAGUUAAUUCUACCAAUCUCAGCUGUCUGCGCAGCUGCACCUCCACCACCACCGCCGCAAAUUAGUGCCACUGUAGACCUACUGGCCAACUCUAUGGCUCCAGCAACGAAGGAAUUUCGGAGCUGUUUAAAGAAAUGUUUCCCGACUCUGACAUCGCGAAGUCAUUCACGUGUGGUAAAGACAAAACCGGGUACAUCAUCAGAUUUGGAUUAGCAUCGUUCACAGUUCAUAGAAUCCGCAACAGUUCAUAGAUGAUGCCCGUUUGUAAUGCAUCAACUUGCAAUGAAUGCCAGCCAGUGUGCUGGAACUAUCCAUUCUCUCCAUUGCACAUUUUAUGUAGUUUGUUUUAUUUUUAUUUACUAAGUGAAAUAAAUGUGCAGUAUGUUGUCAACAUCAGUCUCUAAAUCUAUUCUUUUUUGUAUGUUAUAUAUGUCAAAAUCUGUGUAAAUAAUAGAAAGGUCGCUGAUUAACACUUGCAAUUCAGUGCCGUGAUGGUUUUAAAAAAUAUUCUGAAGGUAGUAAAAAAGGUAUUAAAAAGUAGUAAAUUUAACUUAAGGAUUGCUGUAUAUACCCUGGAAAUAUAUAUUU